rnacentral:rRNA from 1 species
UAAAAUGACGGGAGGAAUGUAGCUUUGGUCUCGUAUUGAAGUGUUAUAGCCUCUGGUAGAUGUGACGACCGGGAUUGAGGAUUGCAACGGAUACCUCUCGGGGCUACUCGCCUGAUCUCUGAUCGUUACUCUGGUGCCGAAAGCUUGCUUAUGUCAUCAAAGUUGAUGGUCAAAAGGUUAGAACGGGUUAAAUUCGUUAAGGAUGUUGACGUA